rnacentral:rRNA from 1 species
GCAUAUCAAUAAGCGGAGGAAAAGAAACCAACAGGGAUUGCCUCAGUAACGGCGAGUGAAGCGGCAAAAGCUCAAAUUUGAAAUCUGAGGCUCUCAGCCCCCGAGUUGUAAUUUGAAGAUGGUGUUCUGGCGCCGGCCCCCUGUCUACGUUCCUUGGAACAGGACAUCACAGAGGGUGAGAAUCCCGUCUGGCGGGGCGGCCUGGCUCCGUGUAGAGCGCCAUCGACGAGUCGAGUUGUUUGGGAAUGCAGCUCUAAGUGGGUGGUAAAUUCCAUCUAAAGCUAAAUAUUGGCGAGAGACCGAUAGCGAACAAGUACAGUGAUGGAAAGAUGAAAAGAACUUUGAAAAGAGAGUGAAAAAGUACGUGAAAUUGUUGAAAGGGAAGGGUAUUGGAUCAGACUUGGUGCUGUGCGAAUAGCGGCUCUUCUUGGGCCGCCCACUCGCACUCCACCGGGCCAGCAUCGGUUUGGGCGGCAAGACAAUGGCGGGGGAACGUGGCACUGCUCUCGGGCAGUGUGUUUAUAGCCCCCGCUGAUGUUGCCUGCCUAGACCGAGGACUGCGGCUUCUGCCUAGGAUGCUGGCGUAAUGAUCCAACACCGCCCGUCUUGAAACACGGACC